UACGUAGGGGGCGAGCGUUGUCCGGAUUUAUUGGGCGUAAAGAGCGUGUAGGCGGCCAGGUAGGUCUGCUGUGAAAACUCGAGGCUCAACCUCGAGACGUCGGCGGAAACCAUCUGGCUAGAGUCCGGAAGAGGAGAGUGGAAUUCCUGGUGUAGCGGUGAAAUGCGCAGAUAUCAGGAGGAAUACCGGUGGCGAAGGCGGCAUCCUGGACCGGCAUUGACGCUGAUGAGCGAAAGCCAGGGGAGCAAACGGG
rnacentral:rRNA from 1 species